rnacentral:lncRNA from 1 species
GGUUCCCAAAAUAUAGUAGCAAAUCUCUCCUCCAGCAUCAGGCUCUUAGAAAAUGCCCGUGCUCAGAAACAGUGACCUCACAUGGAGGUCCAUAAGAUAACUAAACACAGAAUGAAAGGCUGAAGUCUGUCUUCAUUUUAUGUCCAUCUUUUUAAAUUCAAAAGUGUGUGUGUGUGUGUUCAUGUGCUUGCGUGUGUAGACUGCCAAUAGAGGGCAAAAGAGGGCCCUCUAUUUCCUGGAGCUGGAGUUACAGGCAGCUGUAGGCUGCCCUCGAGGGUGCCACUUGGAUAUUCUCUGCAAGAACAGUGCAUGCCCUUAAGCCCUGAGCCAUCUUUCACGCCUGAUGUCUGCUCUUGGGUGGAUUUACCUGUUUACCUCUGCACAUAAGUUAUGUCCAUCAUUGCCGUGGUUUGGAUGAGAAAUGUCCUCCAGAGGUCUGGGUAUUUGUUCCCUAGCUUGGAGGACUAUUUGGAAAGAUUGGAGAACCUCUGGCGGAUGUAGUAUGGCUAUGGGAAGUUAUGACACUCAGUGAAGGUUUGAGUGUUAAUAUACUCUUCCACACAUUCUAUCCAUUCUCUGUCUGCUCCAUGCUCUCACUUGAGAAUGUGAAUUCUUAGCUUCCAAUGUGUGUUGCUUGCUGCCACACUUCCCUCUCACAAUGAACUUAUCCCUCGGGAGACAUAGGUACCAAAUAUACGCGUUCUUCCAUAAAAAAAGUGUUUUAUUACAGCCACAGAAAAGUGGCUAAUAGAAUCACUUAAGGAGACAAUGAGUCUAACUUAUGUCUCUACCAAAGUUGAAGCAUUGAUAUAAGUCAUUGUCUUAAACCUCUGGUCUCCACGGAUUUCAGCCAAAGCGGAACCUUGAAGGAUUGUCUUCCCCACCCCAAACUCCACUGGAGGGCAGCUAUGCGUAAUGGUGACACUGUAUCUUGGAAUAAAAAUGAUUGCCCCUUGCCUC